UGGGGAAUUUUGCGCAAUGGGGGAAACCCUGACGCAGCAACGCCGCGUGCGGGACGACGGCCUUCGGGUUGUAAACCGCUUUCAGCAGGGAAGAAAUUCGACGGUACCUGCAGAAGAAGCUCCGGCUAACUACGUGCCAGCAGCCGCGGUAAUACGUAGGGAGCGAGCGUUAUCCGGAUUCAUUGGGCGUAAAGAGCGCGUAGGCGGCCUCUCAAGCGGGAUCUCUAAUCCGAGGGCUCAACCCCCGGCCGGAUCCCGAACUGGGAGGCUCGAGUUCGGUAGAGGCAGGCGGAAUUCCCGGUGUAGCGGUGGAAUGCGCAGAUAUCGGGAAGAACACCGAUGGCGAAGGCAGCCUGCUGGGCCGCAACUGACGCUGAGGCGCGAAAGCUAGGGGAGCGAACA
rnacentral:rRNA from 2 species